rnacentral:rRNA from 1 species
CGGCGUCGAGCGGCGGACGGGUGAGUAAUGCCUAGGAAAUUGCCCUGAUGUGGGGGAUAACCAUUGGAAACGAUGGCUAAUACCGCAUGAUGCCUACGGGCCAAAGAGGGGGACCUUCGGGCCUCUCGCGUCAGGAUAUGCCUAGGUGGGAUUAGCUAGUUGGUGAGGUAAGGGCUCACCAAGGCGACGAUCCCUAGCUGGUCUGAGAGGAUGAUCAGCCACACUGGAACUGAGACACGGUCCAGACUCCUACGGGAGGCAGCAGUGGGGAAUAUUGCACAAUGGGCGCAAGCCUGAUGCAGCCAUGCCGCGUGUGUGAAGAAGGCCUUCGGGUUGUAAAGCACUUUCAGUCGUGAGGAAGGUAGUGUAGUUAAUAGCUGCAUUAUUUGACGUUAGCGACAGAAGAAGCACCGGCUAACUCCGUGCCAGCAGCCGCGGUAAUACGGAGGGUGCGAGCGUUAAUCGGAAUUACUGGGCGUAAAGCGCAUGCAGGUGGUUUGUUAAGUCAGAUGUGAAAGCCCGGGGCUCAACCUCGGAAUUGCAUUUGAAACUGGCAGACUAGAGUACUGUAGAGGGGGGUAGAAUUUCAGGUGUAGCGGUGAAAUGCGUAGAGAUCUGAAGGAAUACCGGUGGCGAAGGCGGCCCCCUGGACAGAUACUGACACUCAGAUGCGAAAGCGUGGGGAGCAAACAGGAUUAGAUACCCUGGUAGUCCACGCCGUAAACGAUGUCUACUUGGAGGUUGUGGCCUUGAGCCGUGGCUUUCGGAGCUAACGCGUUAAGUAGACCGCCUGGGGAGUACGGUCGCAAGAUUAAAACUCAAAUGAAUUGACGGGGGCCCGCACAAGCGGUGGAGCAUGUGGUUUAAUUCGAUGCAACGCGAAGAACCUUACCUACUCUUGACAUCCAGAGAACUUUCCAGAGAUGGAUUGGUGCCUUCGGGAACUCUGAGACAGGUGCUGCAUGGCUGUCGUCAGCUCGUGUUGUGAAAUGUUGGGUUAAGUCCCGCAACGAGCGCAACCCUUAUCCUUGUUUGCCAGCGAGUAAUGUCGGGAACUCCAGGGAGACUGCCGGUGAUAAACCGGAGGAAGGUGGGGACGACGUCAAGUCAUCAUGGCCCUUACGAGUAGGGCUACACACGUGCUACAAUGGCGCAUACAGAGGGCGGCCAACUUGCGAAAGUGAGCGAAUCCCAAAAAGUGCGUCGUAGUCCGGAUUGGAGUCUGCAACUCGACUCCAUGAAGUCGGAAUCGCUAGUAAUCGUGGAUCAGAAUGCCACGGUGAAUACGUUCCCGGGCCUUGUACACACCGCCCGUCACACCAUGGGAGUGGGCUGCAAAAGAAGUAGGUAGUUUAACCUUCGGGGGGACGCUUACCACUUUGUGGUUCAUGACUGGGGUGAAGUCGUAACAAGGUAGCGCUAGGGGAACCUGGCGCUGG